GUGAGGUAAUGGCUCACCAAGGCAUCGACGGGUAGCUGGUCUGAGAGGACGAUCAGCCACACUGGGACUGAGACACGGCCCAGACUCCUACGGGAGGCAGCAGUAGGGAAUCUUGCACAAUGGGCGAAAGCCUGAUGCAGCGACGCCACGUGGGGGAUGAAGGCCUUCGGGUUGUAAACCCCUUUCAGUAGGGACGAAAAUGACGGUACCUACAGAAGAAGGUCCGGCCAACUACGUGCCAGCAGCCGCGGUGACACGUAGGCACCAAGCGUUGUCCGGAUUUAUUGGGCGUAAAGAGCUCGUAGGCGGUUCAGUUAGUCGGGUGUGAAAACUCUGGGCUCAACCCAGAGACGCCACCCGAUACUGCUGUGACUAGAGUACGGUAGGGGAGUGGGGAAUUCCUGGUGUAGCGGUGAAAUGCGCAGAUAUCAGGAGGAACACCAGUGGCGAAGGCGCCACUCUGGGCCGUAACUGACGCUGAGGAGCGAAAGCAUGGGUAGCAAACAGGAUUAGAUACCCUGGUAGUCCAUGCCGUAAACGUUGGGCACUAGGUGUGGGUCUCAACCAACGAGAUCCGCGCCGUCGCUAACGCAUUAAGUG
rnacentral:rRNA from 1 species